AUUGUGAAUCUUUCUCCCCUCAGCACAAAAGGUUGAUGCCUCAUCUAUUGGAUUAUGGAAGGGAUUUUCAGCUUCCUGUUAAGCCGCAGUGUGUCGGACAGCAGCUCACUGAGAGCUCAUGUGUUCACUCUAACACUGCUGUUCUCUCUUGUGAGAUAGAAAGGAAGGGAAAAGUCGCUUCAGAAUGAACCUUUUCUGCUUCAGUCUGGAGGGAUCUACAGACAGCCUGUACGAGGCCCCGCAGACAAGCCCUGGUCCAACGCCUUGGAGCCCCAAGUGGGGCGGCUCGGAGCCCUGCAUCGCUCCGGAGCUUCUCCAGACUCCCACCAAACAGCUUAAGACAGAUCUGAAGAAAGCAAAGAGAAA